UCAGGUCAGGAAGAGAGGGAGGAGACGCGAAAGGAGCACUAUUGACAUGUUGGGGGACAUCGGCGAAGGCAGCUGUCAUUAACAGAUCCGCAUCAUGAAGCAGCUUUAUUUUAACGGGAUCUUGUCAACUCGGCUUCUUUGCCUUUGGAUGUUAUUUAAGGUCUCAUGUGGCCAGUCAGUCUCCACCACAACCUCGCCGAUGACAGUUCCUGGUUCCAGUGAAGACACGCCAACCAUGCCAAGUACAGUAGCUGGUCCUGGUGGAGACAGCACAACCUCUCCUAGUACAGUCCCUGGUCCUGGCGGUGACACCAGAACCUCUCCUAGUACAGUAGCUGGUCCUGGUGGAGACAGCACAACCUCGCCUGGUACAGUGCCCAGGCGUGAUGAAGACACCACAACUUCCCCUAUCACAGGCCCCGGUCCUGGUGAAGACACCACAACCUCGCCUAGUACAUUCCCUGGUCCUGGUGAAGAUGCCACCACCUUGCC